UACAAUGGCGUAAACAAAGGGAAGCGAAGCCGCGAGGCGGAGCGAACCCCAAAAAUAACGUCCCAGUUCGGACUGUAGUCUGCAACCCGACUACACGAAGCUGGAAUCGCUAGUAAUCGCGGAUCAGCAUGCCGCGGUGAAUACGUUCCCGGGUCUUGUACACACCGCCCGUCACACCAUGGGAGCCGGAAAUGCCCGAAGCCUGUGACCCAACCCAAUAGGGAGGGAGCAGUCGAAGGUGGAGCCGGUAACUGGGGUGAAGUCGUAACAAGGUACC
rnacentral:rRNA from 1 species